CCUACGGGUGUCAGCAGUGGGGAAUAUUGCACAAUGGGGGAAACCCUGAUGCAGCGACGCCGCGUGAGCGAUGAAGUAUUUCGGUAUGUAAAGCUCUAUCAGCAGGGAAGAAAAUGACGGUACCUGACUAAGAAGCCCCGGCUAACUACGUGCCAGCAGCCGCGGUAAUACGUAGGGGGCAAGCGGUAUCCGGAUUUACUGGGUGUAAAGGGUGCGUAGACGGCUGUGCAAGCCAGAUGUGAAAGCCCGGGUCUAAACCCCGGGACUGCAUUUGGAACUGUGUGGCUGGAGUGUCGGAGAGGCAGGCGGAAUUCCUAGUGUAGCGGUGAAAUGCGUAGAUAUUAGGAGGAACACCAGUGGCGAAGGCGGCCUGCUGGACGAUGACUGACGUUGAGGCUCGAAAGCGUGGGGAGCAAACAGGAUUAGAUACCCGUGUAGUC
rnacentral:rRNA from 1 species